rnacentral:rRNA from 1 species
UACGGAGGGUGCAAGCGUUAAUCGGAAUUACUGGGCGUAAAGCGCACGCAGGUGGCUGAGAAAGUCGAUUGUGAAAGCCCUGGGCUUAACCUGGGAAUUGCAGUCGAAACUACUCGGCUAGAGUAUGGGAGAGGGUAGUGGAAUUCCCGGUGUAGCGGUGAAAUGCGUAGAUAUCGGGAGGAACAUCAGUGGCGAAGGCGGCUUUCUGGCCUGUUCUUGACGCUGAGGCGCGAAAGCUAGGGGAGCGAACGGG